ensembl:lncRNA
UAAACUGCGGUCUCAAUCUUUGGAAAAGCCAAUCGAUCCUAGAGUUGAUUUAUUAUUUAAAAGUCUGCCCGCUGCUUAUUCCGGACAUCUCCGUGGAAUUUGACAAGAUAGAAAAGUGCCCUCUGCAGCUGAGGGGUCAAAGGACCCUGGUGAGAGAGCCACAGGGGGGCAAUUGCAGCUUUCACACUCACAAGGUGACUACAAUUAAAAGGAAAGACUGCAAAUAUUGACACAUUCAACUUUAUUUUGGUUGUGUGUGAUUUUCUGGGAGGACUGUACUGUUUGAUUUCAUAUUAAAAACAUUGGCUUAACUUCAACCUGGAUCGGCUGGGCUCUGUCAGUGGGUCAUGAAGAUAAAUGGUCUGUUCCUCACCUGAAGAAUGGCAUUACAUGUAUCAGGAGCUUCCUGCUGCUGCUGCUGCCUCAACAUGCAUUGUUGGCCAGAGCACGUCUGCAUCCACUGGUGAUUCGCCAGUGUCACGUCCUGCACACUCGUUCUCUGUGAUACCCUCUGUUGUUCCAGAAACAACCCAUGCAGGUGACACAUCAGUCACCCUUCCUCCUCCAGAGAAGUCCAGUCAGCUCUACUGAUGUCUCCACUGCUCCAGUAAGGUCGAGGAUAAAUGUUUCAAUGUUUGAAAGAUCAAGGCUUGGUGGAAAACGUGAGAGCUGCAAAGCCAAACCUGAACGUUUCCAGAAAACCUUCCCAGGUGAAUAUAAGAACAUAUUAUGAAGUUUGGCAUGUACAUACAAAUGUAUGACAGUGGCAAAUAAAACAUGUACAAUAACAUGUCACAUCUAUAUAACCCCAUAGGUACCAGUGACUGCAUCGGGACAUGAGGGUCCUGGGGCAGCUUCAGCCAUCGACCCAUCUCCUGAUCCUGUCCCAUUGCCAAAGCAGCCUCAUCAACCUUCCCCAUCUCGUCCAACUGUUUCCGCAUCCCCAGACACCUUCCUUGCUCCCCCAUUACCACCAUCUGUGCAGCCACCAGCACCUGCUCAGCCUGUGACGGAUCAUACUGUUGUGAGCAACCUGGUAAAAACAGUCAACAUCAAUAGAUAAAAGUGAUGAUACUUUUGUUUUGCCUUAAACUAUUGCAUGGGAUGAGUCUUAAAAGGCAGGUCUCCUUGUUUUUCUGAACUUUAACAGAACCCCUUUCAGCCAGAGCAUUCUGCUGCUCUCCCACUGCUGUGGCCAAAGACAAUGCCACAGCAGGACCACAAGUGGGUGUCAUCAGCUUUGUUCAGGGUUGGUUCAGGUGGAAAGUUGGAGUUGCGUGACCAGCUUCAGCUGUGGUAUUACCCUCCACAGCCAUCUCUGGUGUACCACCAGGCUCCAACCCCUUUGCCGUACGGCUGCUCUGCUUAAAGCCAGCAUGUAAUGGGCAUCCACAGGCCAGCGGUGGUCUUCACAGGAGAGUGCGCCAGGUCCUUGAUAUUGACCGCUAUUACAACUUGGUCACAGAGACCCUGAUAUGCAGGCAAUUCUCCAGCAGCUGGACCUGGAACACCGCUCAGAGUUUAGGGUCAUCCUGACACGCAGGUACACGACACAAAUACAUACAUAUGCACUCACUACACAUAUUUACACAUCAAAAUGUAGUUUGGAGAAAGAGAGAAUAUUUUUUUUCCUUUUUAAAGAUAUGCCUGUGACAUCAGAGUGAUCCGUCUAGAUGCCUCUAGACUGCUGCAACCACAUUUUAGGAGCCCCCAGUAUCAGCGGUGUUACCAAGCUAUAAGUGGCUCCUUGUUGUGUACAGUCAAGAUAUCCUGAACAGGCUGGAGGAUAUUGAGGCUAAGAUAACUUCAGUCUAUGGAUGCAUUUUAAAAAUGGACUCUACUAAGACGGUUAGAAUUUGAAUAGCUCUAAUCUUCCAAAUAAUAUACACUCAAUCUUUACAUAAAUGUUCUGACGGUUUUUGAAUUUUCAGAUCACCAAGAAGCUCAGUGGACCUGCCAAGGGCACUGUCCGGUGGCUGACUUCUGUGGGGAACAAAAUGGGUCAGGUACUCAUUAGUGUCCUAACAGCCAGUGAGGGUCCAGCAUUGGAUCUUAUGGCCGCAGGCCUGAUGGACAGGUAAUAAUGACAAUACUGAUGAACUAUGAGCUAUUUAAAAGCACAUGUUAUAAACUGCUUACCAGAAUUGCAAAAAUGAAAGUGACAUUAUGGAUGGAUUCAGAAUA